rnacentral:rRNA from 1 species
UACAGAGGGUGCGAGCGUUGUUCGGAAUUAUUGGGCGUAAAGCGCUGGUAGGUGGCUUGUUAAGUCGCGUGUGAAAUCUCCAGGCUCAACCUGGAAAGUGCGCGCGAAACUGGCGGGCUUGAGUGCCGGAGAGGGUCGCGGAAUUCCCAGUGUAGAGGUGAAAUUCGUAGAUAUUGGGAGGAACACCAGAGGCGAAGGACGG